UACUUCUAUAAAGGUGCGGAUGCUAAACUGGGCCUAAGUGAACCUGGCGAAGAAUUGUAGCAAUUUUUUUGCUAUUCCAGUUGAAAACGAGGAGCUUUGAUGACUUGAAUCCACAAUGCUGUUGGCAAAGUGCUUAAUCUCUGCUAGACCUGAGGUUAGCACCUUCCUCAAGUAAAUGGGAUAUGAGAGAGACGAGAUUUCCACGUGUCUGCUUCUCCCCCAAAGGCACACCAAGACCUGUUCCAGUUGGUUUGGUUCAUGUUAGUGAGCUCACACGGGUAUCAAACCCAGCAGCCCCGAUGGAGGACACUUCUCAAAGAAAUACAACCAAAAUCUGCUCAUCCAGGUAAAGUAUGCUCACCUCCUUAAAGCCACGGGGUGUUCCGCUGGAGCCAGGACUCUGGGUGACCAUAAACAUGAUUGAACAGAGAACACAGAAGCCGUGUGGUUUUUAUCCACUGAGAUACGAUACCACCAUGGAAAACGUAAGAAGAUUAGCCACAAUGACCCCCAUGAUUUAUGCUCAUGGCACUGGAGAUGUUUGAUAUGAGGCAAGGGCCAACUUGUAAAAAUAAAUCUCAUAUUUUCUCCCUGAGUUUUUUUUGUGCUGGGGACAUUUGCUGCUUUUCUGGAGAAUCUUCAGCACUUGGUACAUUAUGUAUGGUGUAAAAAAUUUGACAGCAAACACACAGGAAAGGCUGACAGACCUGUGUUUACUGUAUUGCACUGUAUGUUACUACACAGUCUGCAAUAUUAAACCCAACUCCAAACUAGACUUUGGAACCAGGCAGCAAGCCCAAAGUUGUGAUAAUCUCCUCCGUAACAGCAGAAAAAAAUAAAAUAACAUUGCUGAAAGUUGAAAUGUUUAGUUUCAGUCCCAAAACUCCUAAUGUACUUAAAUUUGCAUUUAUGUUCUUUUGAAUUACAUUAUGUAAAUUUACAUUCUUUAAAAAAAAAUCGUGCUGAAAGUCUUGUAAACUGGUUCAAGCCCUGCUCUACUGCACAUCAGAAAACACUGCUGUCAGAGAGAAUGAAAACAGAGCUGACCAAGCAACAGGAAACCUUUACCUAAAAUUAAGUCUUCCGAGAGUUACCAUGGGUGUUUGUUUAAAAUUACUGGUCUGAGCAGCAAAAUAUCCAGGCAAUACCUGGGAGCAGGAGAUCAGUCAAGCUUCGUUCUUUUGCACGGGGGCUCUCAAUUUUAGAAUCACAUGUAAGCAGCUAUUAAAUACGGGCUGCAGUGUGGUUAGGGCACAAAUGGGAUUUUGGGGA